AUAUUGCACAAUGGGGGAAACCCUGAUGCAGCGACGCCGCGUGGAGGAAGAAGGUCUUCGGAUUGUAAACUCCUGUUGUUGAGGAAGAUAAUGACGGUACUCAACAAGGAAGUGACGGCUAACUACGUGCCAGCAGCCGCGGUAAAACGUAGGUCACAAGCGUUGUCCGGAAUUACUGGGUGUAAAGGGAGCGCAGGCGGGAAGACAAGUUGGAAGUGAAAUCCAUGGGCUCAACCCAUGAACUGCUUUCAAAACUGUUUUUCUUGAGUAGUGCAGAGGUAGGCGGAAUUCCCGGUGUAGCGGUGGAAUGCGUAGAUAUCGGGAGGAACACCAGUGGCGAAGGCGGCCUACUGGGCACCAACUGACGCUGAGGCUCGAAAGUGUGGGUAGCAAACAGGAUUAGAUACCCUGGUAGUCCACACCGUAAACGAUGAUUACUAGGUGUUGGAGGAUUGACCCCUUCAGUGCCGCAGUUAACACAAUAAGUAAUCCACCUGGGGAGUACGACCGCAAGGUUGAAACUCAAAGGAAUUGACGGGGGCCCGCACAAGCAGUGGAGUAUGUGGUUUAAUUCGACGCAACGCGAAGAACCUUACCAAGUCUUGACAUCCCUUGACGAUGCUGGAAACAGUAUUUCUCUUCGGAGCAAGGAGACAGGUGGUGCAUGGUUGUCGUCAGCUCGUGUCGUGAGAUGUUGGGUUAAGUCCCGCAACGAGCGCAACCCUUAUGGUCAGUUACUACGCAAGAGGACUCUGGCCAGACUGCCGUUGACAAAACGGAGGAAGGUGGGGAUGACGUCAAAUCAUCAUGCCCUUUAUGACUUGGGCUACACACGUACUACAAUGGCGUUAAACAAAGAGAAGCAAGACCGCGAGGUGGAGCAAAACUCAGAAACAACGUCCCAGUUCGGACUGCAGGCUGCAACUCGCCUGCACGAAGUCGGAAUUGCUAGUAAUCGCAGAUCAGCAUGCUGCGGUGAAUACGUUCCCGGGCCUUGUACACACCGCCCGUCACACCAUGAGAGCCGGGGGGACCCGAAGUCGGUAGUCUAACCGCAAGGAGGACGCCGCCGAAGGUAAAACUGGUGAUUGGGGUGAAGUCGUAACAAGGUAGCCGUAGGAGAACCUGCGGCUG
rnacentral:rRNA from 1 species